rnacentral:rRNA from 1 species
GCUUAGCCCUAAACAUAGACAGUUAAAACACAAGACUGUCCGCCAGAGAACUACAAGCGAAAAACUCGAAACUCCAAGGACUUGGCGGUGCUCCACAUCAGCCUAGAGGAGCCUGUCCUAUAAUCGAUACCCCACGUUAAACCUUACCACCUUUAGCCACACAGCCUAUAUACCGCCGUCGUCAGCCUACCUUGUGAAAGAAACAACAGUAGGCACAACAGUUAUUAACUAACACGUCAGGUCAAGGUGUAGCAUAUAAGAUGGAAGAGAUGGGCUACAUUUUCUAUUACAGAACAAACGAACGGCACAAUGAAACACGUACCCGAAGGCGGAUUUAGCAGUAAGACAGACAAGAAAUGUUGUCUUAAACUCGCUCUGGAGCGCGC